rnacentral:rRNA from 1 species
CGAAUCAUUCACAAUGGGCGAAAGCCUGAUGGUGCGACGCCGCGUGAGGGAUGAAGGUCUUCGGAUUGUAAACCUCUGUCACCGGGGAAGAAACGCUUUGAAUGAACAGUUCAAAGCCUGACGUAACCCGGAGAGGAAGCAGUGGCUAACUCUGUGCCAGCAGCCGCGGUAAUACAGAGACUGCGAGCGUUAUUCGGAUUCACUGGGCGUAAAGGGUGCGCAGGCGGCCGUGUGUGUGAGGCGUGAAAGCCCGGGGCUUAACCCCGGAAUUGCACCUCAAACUACACGGCUCGAGCAUUGGAGAGGGUAGCAGAAUUCACGGUGUAGCAGUGAAAUGCGUAGAUAUCGUGAGGAAUACCAGAGGCGAAGGCGGCUACCUGGACAAUUGCUGACGCUCAGGCACGAAAGCGUGGGGAGCAAAA